CCUACGGGUGGCAGCAGUGGGGAAUAUUGCACAAUGGGGGAAACCCUGAUGCAGCAACGCCGCGUGAAGGAAGACGGUUCUCUGAUUUUAAACCUCCGUUCUUAGUGAAGUAUACUGACGGACGCUAAGGAGCAAGCCACGGCUAACUACGUGCCAGCAGCCGCGGUAAUACGUAGGUGGCAAGCGUUGUCCGGAAUUACUGGGUGUAAAGGGAGCGGAGGCGGGAAGCCAAGUCAGAGGUGAAAACUACGGGCGUAACUUGAAGACUGCAGUUGAAACUGGUUUUCUUGAGUGAAGUAGAGGUAGGCGGAAUGCAGGGUGGAGCGGUGAAAUGCGUAGAUAUUCGGAGGAACACCGGUGGCGAAGGCAGCCGACUGGGCUUUAACUGACGCUGAGGCUCGAAAGUGUGGGGAGCAAACAGGAUUAGAUACCCUUGUAGUC
rnacentral:rRNA from 1 species